UACGUAGGGUGCGAGCGUUAUUCGGAAUUACUGGGCGUAAAGCGUGCGCAGGCGGUUUUUUGAGUCUGGCGUGAAAUCCCCGGGCUCAACCUGGGAAUGGCAUUUGGGACUGCAAGGCUGGAGUGCGGCAGAGGAGACUGGAAUUCCUGGUGUAGCAGUGAAAUGCGUAGAUAUCAGGAGGAAUACCGAUGGCGAAGGCAGGUCUCUGGGCUGACACUGACGCUCAUGCACGAAAGCGUGGGGAGCAAACAGG
rnacentral:rRNA from 1 species